UAAACUUUAAGCGACACGAUUCAUUAGUUAGCGGACUUCCUGGAGUCUCCUCUGGUUGCCUGGCAACAGCUAAGAGCCAACGCACAUAAAACAGAAAAUUGUUGUUGUUUUUUUACGGAUUAAAGAUACGAAAUAAUAUAUGUGAAUUAGUAAACUUUAGAGGUGUUGGUAGGAGGAGUUCGCCGUGCCUGUUUCCCCCAUUUUAAGUCUUUGUGCUAAGCUAAGCUAACUGGCUGUAGCUUCAUACUGAGGGAGUUCCCGUCAAGCUCAAAGAGCAAACCUUGUAUUCCCCCCACUAAUGUAAGUCUGUUCAGUCUGAUUCUCCAAGUGAAAAGAACCAACUCUUUAAUGGCAGUAAAUGUUUUUAUGCACCGCUGCUGAUCUUUGUACCGGUGAAACGAACCUGCAUCUGUAACUUAAUCAAUACUGCUUUUAUAACAGUGAAUAACAGGUGAUCUGAAUUAACCUUCAGGCAGUGAAAUCGAAGGACUUUUGUCUCCUGCAAAAAGACGUGAUCAACCUCGUGUCCCGACAGCAUGAAAAGGAUCUGCAGAGUGUGUGUGGGCGGAGAGAGACGGAUUCUUUAUUAUCUGAUGUUGCUAUAUUGCUGCAGUUGUCCAUGUGUUUCAAUUUUCCUUUUUUUUAUUGCUUUUACACGAAGAAUUACCUCUUUCAUCAAGACGCAGACAAUAAAGGCGUUCUGAAGUGAUUACUUUAGACCUGGCACAGUUGGGGCUCAGUUUCAGCUGGAAAGUGUUUGAAUAUCUUGCAUGUUCUUGCUUGUGCUAGCUGUAUUAGCAUCUACAGACUCCUCGUCGCCUGCACAGGUAUCACCGCCUCACCAGAGAUGGAGGAGACAGCGAACACACAGCGCUGCCUGUGUCAGCACAGAACAGCAGAAAUCAGGGAGUUCAUUCAUGUGGACCAGGAUCCUGUUCAGAGUCUCAGGACAAUAGACGUGGCGGGACAUUAGCAGAUGAUGUACCGCUGUUAAUGAGGAUAUUCUGAACAGUUGCUGUGCAGGGGAACUUACAUUAAAGGAAAUUCUGGCUUUUAUUUUCAUAGUUUUGGCCAUAAUUUCUAUCUGUUAUGAGAACAUUGAACUGGCAUACAUACAACAAAGGUCCAUAGGGCCACUGAUAAUCUUACAGAGUGACACCAAAAGCAUAUCCGGGCGGAGGGGUUAUGCAUUUAUUAUCUUCUUUAACAAAUUUCAGUCCUUCCAGGAUUUCACAGGAUGGUUGUGGCCUAAAAUGCCUGAUUUUACAGCAGCUUUUCUUAGAAAUUGCGAUGUGUAUUACGAUGUUUGAAAGCUUGUUCUAGUUCAGGUGAGAAUAAAAAUGCAAUUUUCCUUGCACGUCUCUGCAUCUUCAUUACUAGAAAGGAAGAAGUGAGUUUGGUGAUGUAUGCAGGGUUCC
rnacentral:lncRNA from 1 species